GAUAAUACAGAGUCACGAACUCUAGUUUAAUACAUAGAAAUAUCUUCAAAAAAAAUACAAUACUGUUCGGAUAUCAAAUUAACAGUACAAUCAAAAGGAAAAGGACUCCAAGGGACUGCGACGACCAAGUAGCUACACCUUGAAUCCUCGCAAUCAAGAAGCUAACUCUUCUUGAAUCCAUUAUCUCCAAUACCCAAAUCUGCACACAAAUGUGCAGAAGUGUAUUAUGAGUGCACCACGGUGGGUACACCAAUAAGUAUCAAGACUAACCUCGGUGGAGUAGUAACGAGGUACAAGUCAAGACACCUACUAGUCAUAAUAACAUGUGUAGUAUAUAAGUAUAAAGCUAAUAAUGAAAGAAAGAAUCAGUAAAUGGCAACAAGGAAUAAAAUAUGAUAUAAACAGUAAAGUAAUUAUAACACCAUUAAAGUACCAAUGAAACCAAAUAAGCAAAACAAUGACAACCAACUAAUCAAGCCGUCCUAAAACAAGUCUUAAAACAAUAUUACUCUGGGAUACCUCAUCCCAAAAUCACAAGUCACGAGUCCCAAAUCACAAAUCAAAUGUUCACAACACCUCGUGCCUCCAUUGUCAAUCACCACCGCACGGACAACUCACGUACCAAUACCGCAAUCUGCCCGGUAUGGUCACAGUCUCACAAUCACAAUCCGUCGGCAUAGUUAGAGGCUCAAUACCACAAGCUGUCUGGCAUGGUCACAUGCUUACUUUUAUAAUGGAAGCAGAUAAAACAAAAAUACAUGGACAUGAUCAAUGAAUGUUAAGUUUCAUACUCUUGAACCUGUGUAAACGGCAUGCUAUGGUGUAUGCUUGUGCGACUAUACUAAUAUAGUCCACGUCAACAAGUAAUAUCAAAGAUAUCAAGUAGCUCAUUGAAAACAAUACAACCAGUCACGUAAGGUGCAUGACAUAAACAAGGAAAAUCGCACCAUCACACGAAUAUCACCAAAUAUAAUGCCCUCAUGCCAUCACAUAUCAUCCCUGACGUAGCCACCCUUAUCUCUCCAUAUUGAUAACAUCAUAAUAGUAAUCCUUACCGCUCCGCCUAGAUAUUUAACAUAAUAGCCACCCAUAUCACUCUGAUAGCCAUCUGUAUUACUCCACCCUAACAAUAUCAUUAGCCACAUGUAUCACUACGAUAGCCACCCGUAUCAGCCUGACAAUAUCAUUAGCCACCUGUAUCACUCUGAUAGCCACAGGUAUCAACUCCGCCCUAAAAAUAUACAAUAGCCACCCGUAUCACUCUGCAUUCAAGAGUGAGAUGUUACCAUUAUGCUCUGCAUAACAACAAUCAAUCCACAUAACCAAUUCACAUGUGAUAUCAUUAUAACAACACGACAUAUCAACUCAUACCACAAGUACUUAUAGGCCUCAAUCUUAACAACAACAAUACCGAUAUCACCAGAACAAAUAGCCCGCGGCUUAAACAUGAUAUGUACAAAAUUUAAACUGCAACAAAAUGAAUGGGGAAAGCAACUCAACGAUGAACAAUACCUCAUUAAACAACAACUUCAACUAAAAUAGGUUAAUGACUUUCAAUGACUUCAAACUUCAAUUAAUUACUUAAGAAUAAACUCAAUAAUAAAGGUAUUUUCAUGAAAUGGCGAACUUUAAAUUCUAGUGUAUAACAAAAGCUAACAAUGAAAGAGAUGGCAUGAACUAGCAACUACGUCUAAAUGCAUGAGAAUAACCCAACAACGAAAGGAUAUCAUGUAACAACAAUUUUAAUUACGAAUAAUUCAACAAUAAAGGAGGCCACAUUACAAUAAAAGAUAUAACAACUUCAAAUAAAGCAUAUAAGAGUAAACUUGACAAAUAAAAGAUAUAUCAUGUGCUAACAAUUUUAAAUAAAUUCAUGAAAGAAUAAACUUAACAAAAAGAAUGGAGAACAUGUAAUGACAACUUUAAUAAAAUGCAUAUAAGAAGCCUAAGAUUCUAAUCCGGUCAAUUUCUUUAUUUAAGGUCGUGUACGCACACGUCACCUCUUGUACACGUCUUCCACAUAAUUCAAAUAGUGCAAUUAAACCAAAUCCUACAGGGGGUAGUUUCUCUCGCACAAGGUUAGGCUAGAUACUUACCUCAAAGAAGCUAAAUCAAUACUCUAAUAAGACCUUGUGUGAAACAACCUCCAGACUGCUUGAAUCUUGCCAAAAUAACUUAAUAUCAUAAAUAAAAGCCAUAGAAAACACAAUAAUGCUUCGAUCUUUAAUGAAAACUAAAAAGUCAACCCCGGUCCUGUACCUCAGAACACGACAAAACCAAUAAAAUCAUUAUUUUUGUGUUUUAGAAGGUUUACAAAAAUCUCCAAUUUCUCCAAUUCAAAUUAAUAAUUAAAUGAUAAAAAUAAGGAUGGUGUCAUGAAAUAAUCAAAUCCGGGUCAAGAGUACUUACCCCAAUCCAAAUUGUGAAAAUUCCCUCCAAAAUUGCCCAAAACCGAGUUUUCUAACUCAAAAAGUAAUAAAAUAUCAUAACCUUUUGAAAUAUAGUACUUUAUAUUAUGCCCAGGUGUUACCCAUUGCGAUCGCGGAAUGACCAUCGCGAUCGCGAAGACAAAUGCCAACAACUUUCAAAACAUUCUUCGCAAACGCGUGAAAAUACUUGUGAACACGACAGAUAGACAGUCUCCAAGACAAUAUGCGAAUGAGGUGUCCCUCACACGAACGUGGAUAACAAAACCCCUGAUGUCCCUUUCUGGCAUCCGUAUACGCGAUUGCGAAACCUUUUACGCGAACGCCAAGGAAAUAAUCUUCCAUGCUUUGCAAAUGUGGUCGCCUCUUCGCGACCGCGAAGAACAAAAUGCAUGCCUUCACAGUAACUCUACGCGAAAGAGUUUGCUUCAUCGCGAUCGCGAUGAAGAACAUCAGAUAUCAAAACCAGUAGUUCAAAAACAUAGAAAAAUGACCUGUAGCUCAUCCGAAAUACACCCCAACCCCCGUGACCCCUCCCAAACAUACCAACAAGUUCCAUAACAUAACGGGGACCUGCUCGACACUGCAAAUCACUUCAAACAAUAUUAAAACGACGAAUCACACCUCAAUUCAGGUCUAAUGAACUAACGAACUUUCAACUGCUAAAACUAAUGCCGAAACAAAUCAAACCAACCCAGAAGAACCUCAAAUUUUUUUGCAAGUACCAAAUGACACAAUGAGGCUAUACCAACUCUAGGAAUCACAAUCCGAGCCCGAUAUCAACAAAGCCAUCUCCCAGUCAAACCUCUCAAGAUUCCAAACCUUCAACUUUUCCAACUUUCGUCAAAAUGCAUUAAAUCAACCUACGGACCUCCAAAUCCAAAUUUGGACAUACGCCUAAGUUCAAAAUCACCAUAAGAAACUAUUGGAGUCAUCAAAAUACCAUUUUGGAGUUGUCUACACAAAAGUCAAACUCCGGACAACUCUUACUACUUAAGCUUUUAAAGCAAGAAUCAUUCUUCCAAAUCAAUCCUGAAUCACCCAAAAAUCUAAUCUGAUCAUACACGCAAGUCAUAAUAUGAAGCUACUCGAGACCUCAAGCCACCGAAUGGGACGCUAAUUCUCAAAACGAUCGAUUGGGUCGUUAUAGAUGCACUUAAGGAUAAAUAGGUCUGAAGUACUAUAAGUAUUUUCAUUCACUUAAGGUCAGAGAGGUCUGAAGUGAAAAAAUGCACUUCAGAUAUAUUUAAGAACAAAUAGGUUUGAAGUGUAACCAAUGAUUUCAUGCGCUUAAGGCCAAAAAGUUGAAAUAAAAAAGUACACUUCAGUGCACUUAAGGCCAAAUAGUUUUGAAGUGCAACCAAUGGUUUCAUGCACUUAAGGACAAAAAGUUUGACGUGAAAAAAUUACACUUCAAAUGCACUUAAUGUCAAAUGGUUGUUAAUUGCAACCAAAUGUUUCAUGCACUUGAGGCCAAUUAGCCUGAAGUGAAAAACAUGCUCUUUAGAUGCACUACGGCCAAAUAGGUCUAAAGUGCAACCAAUGUUUUCAUGAACAAAAAUUUGUUCUUCGAAAUAACAAUUCAAUAUAUGAUUUAACUACUAAAUCUACUCCAAAUAAGCUCAAAUUUGAAACAUAACAUUUAAAUAUCAUCAAGAACAAACCUCAAUCAUCAAUUUGUCAAAACAACAAUAAAUCUAACGAACUUAUUUUGCAAUUAUGAAAAAGAACAAGAAGAAGAAGAAACCCUAAGCAAUAAUAAAAAAUAAAGCGCUACAACAACUCCCAACUAUAAAACAUCAUAAACUACCUUAAAAUAUGUUCAUAAAUACCAUAUAAAAUCAUUAUGAAGAAGAAGAAGAAGAAGAAGAAGAAGAAGAAGAAAAAGAAAAAGAAGAAGAAGAAAAAAAAGAAGAAGGGGAGAAAAAGACCAGAGUUCUUUAAACCUCAAGUACUAGUUAAAAAAAAAUUUAAAAAAUGAAUACAUGAUGGGGACGAGCAAAUAGGGUGCCCUCGCAAUUUUUACCUUAAAAGAUUAGGUAGUUUCUCUUUUUAGUCUAUUUCCGAUGUUUGGCAUAAUUUCAUGAUUUGACGAAACUUUCUCGGUAUUUCUGCUUAAACAUUUUUCUCAUAUUUUUUAUUAAAUCAAAUAAUUAGGUUUUUUAAAUAUGAGGCAAAAAGUGUUCAUUCAAGAAUAUAUUUUUGUCAUUUUGGCAAAUGGAUAAAAGAUGAGAAAAUAAAAGGGUAGGAGGAAAUACAAGAAAGAAGAAAAAGUCGUUAAUUAUAAUAUGGAGAGCAAGAACAUGGGGACGCACCAAAAAUGACGACUAUAUAAACUCGACCGUUGACUUGUCUUCAGAAUUUAGAUUUGUGCCUUCUCUAUGUUCUCCCUUUCUGGUUGAAGUUAUUGCCACCAUCCCAAAACUGCAAAACCAACAAUACUAGCUAAACCAGGAAACCAUACUGUAAAAUCCCAGCAGUUUAAAGUUAGUUAAAAAAAGGACAAAUAUUGGCGUAUAUAUAAAGUGAUAGUAGUAUCUUUAUAUCAACAACAAUAUUAGUUAUCCACAUAUUCCACCAUUUGUCAAAAAAGUUACACUUUGUUGUUUUCAGACAAAAAGUUCAUCUCUUCAUCAUCUUCAUAAAGUCAAGAUUUAUGAAGUGAAUUAUGAUAGCACUUUUGUAGUUUAGUGAAAGAUAAUAAGGAGAAAGCAAAAUUUAUGGGAAUAGAUAGGGAAUUGUUUUGGAUCAGAGAUUUGUGACCAAAAUCCAAGUAGCACCAUCCCCAGCUACUCACCUAGAGCUUCAACCCCAGGAGUCGAUCUUAUUCACGAAGAAUCGAAGAAGGAUUACGAUCCUCCAUAGCAAUGGGUGGAUUUGACCGAGGCAUACUCUGUACCUCUUGCAGAAGUCUAUAAUGACCCGGUCCACUAGGCCCAGUGCAAAGGAAUAAGGUAUAAACACUAAGAUAUCCCUCGACAUGGGUAGUAAUGGUCUCCUCAGGGUCGGGGACCACUAUGUCC
rnacentral:lncRNA from 1 species